UACAGAGGGUGCGAGCGUUGUUCGGAAUUAUUGGGCGUAAAGCGCUUGUAGGCGGCACGUCAAGUCGCGUGUGAAAUCCCCAGGCUUAACCUGGGAAGUGCGCGCGAAACUGACGAGCUGAGUGCCGGAGAGGGUCGCGGAAUCCGGUGUAGAGGUGAAAUUCGUAGAUAGUCGGGAGGAACACCAGUGCGAAGGCGGCGACCUGGACGGACACUG
rnacentral:rRNA from 1 species